GACGGAGGAUGCAAGCGUUAUCCGGAAUGAUUGGGCGUAAAGCGUCCGCAGGUGGCAGUUCAAGUCUGCUGUCAAAGACCGGGGCUUAACUUCGGAAAGGCAGUGGAAACUGAACAGCUAGAGUAUGGUAGGGGCAGAGGGAAUUCCCGGUGUAGCGGUGAAAUGCGUAGAGAUCGGGAGGAACAUCUAUGGCGAAAGGCAGCUCGCUGGGACGUUACUGACGCUGGAGACGCGAAAGCGUGGGGAGCAAACGGG
rnacentral:rRNA from 1 species